rnacentral:rRNA from 1 species
GUAGGGUGCGAGCGUUGUCCGGAAUUAUUGGGCGUAAAGAGCUCGUAGGCGGUGUGUCGCGUCGGCCGUGAAAACCUGUGGCUUAACUGUGGGCUUGCGGUCGAUACGGGCAUCACUGGAGUUCGGCAGGGGAGACUGGAAUUCCUGGUGUAGCGGUGAAAUGCGCAGAUAUCAGGAGGAACACCGGUGGCGAAGGCGGGUCUCUGGGCCGAUACUGACGCUGAGGAGCGAAAGCGUGGGGAGCGAACAGGAUUAGAUACCCUGGUAGUCCACGCCGUAAACGUUGGGCGCUAGGUGUGGGGGCCAUUCCACGGUCUCUGUGCCGUAGCUAACGCAUUAAGCGCCCCGCCUGGGGAGUACGGCCGCAAGGCUAAA